GGACUACCGGGGUUUCUAAUCCUGUUUGCUCCCCACGCUUUCGUGCAUGAGCGUCAGUAUUGACCCAGGAGGCUGCCUUCGCCAUCGAUAUUCCUCCACAUCUCUACGCAUUUCACUGCUACACGUGGAAUUCUGCCUCCCUCUGCCAUACUCUAGCUUGCCAGUCACGCAUGCCAUUCCCAGGUUAAGCCCGGGGCUUUCACAUUCGUCUUGGCAAACCGCCUGCGCACCCUUUACGCCCAGUCAUUCCGAUUAACGCUCGCACCCUACGUAUUACCGCGGCUGCUGGCAC
rnacentral:rRNA from 1 species